CAAUGAUCUUAGAGGAGGGCGGAGACGUCAGACUGUUCUGGGAGGCUCGUGGAUGUGGACCGGAGCUCGUGCCGCUGCGCUGAGCUGCGUGAAAAUACGAUAAACCUGUCGCUAGCUUUCAGCUACGCGAGCUUUAGCAGGUCGUACGCGACAGAAUCUAGAUUUAAGCGAGUAUCGAGAGGACCAAAAACUUGAAUGACAUUGUAUAAGCUCGAGUGUUUGCAGAAAUAAGGCGAAAGAUAGAUAGUUUGGACGCAGGCUAACUGGCUAAGUGAGCCGUCGGCAAGACCCCACCACCCAAAGAUCGAAACGGAGAUUAAAGCCAACAUCUAAUCUAUCAAAGAGGAUAACCGAUGUCACACAUACCAAUCCUCUAAAGCAGCGACGCCAAUGAACUGACGGGUGGAGUUUAUUUCCAUUCUCUCCAGCACACCCACUGGAAGGCCCCAACAUUGGCUGAGUGUGUGGAUACUCUGUGUUUGAGUGUGCGUAUGGUCAGCUGAAAGACGAGAGAACUUCACAGUGUCAGAGAAGAAAGCGCAGGCAUGGCUCAAGGCACUCCCCUGAGGCCGCGUCCCCCUGAGCUACUUAUGUAAUGCCUUCUCAUCUUCUAAAAGACGGCAGCUGGGCCUGAUAAACUCACACGUACACAUUCAAGGAAGUCUCUGAAGUGUCCCAAGGGAGAAGUUGAACUCUUGUCCAUUGUUUUCUGUUUGACCUCAUCCUCCUUCAGUCUUCACAUACUCACCUGUGAAUCCCAGGAUUCCUCUGAGCUCCAAAGUCGUCUUUUCGGAAUCGCUCCACUGACCUGGAUCGGUUCCCAGGAGUUUUGAGGUGUGUGCAAGCUAAGCGCUGCUCUUUCACCUGUUUUUUUUUUUUUGUCUCUGUGCAAGCUCCAUUAAGAGAGGUGUUUUAGGUGGAGCAUUCCUCUCAUUUAAUGCACCUUGACUCAAAAAGCGAAAAUUUGAUCUAAUCAGCCAUGCAGGUGUAAGCCUGCUUACUUGGGAAGAUACUGGCCUGUCCUUCGAAACGAAACUGUGGAUUAGCAAUGCUUCGACUCAGGAGAGAGACACUUGAGGUUCCAUUAUUUAAGGUGCAUUGUAGCACACUUGUUGGUUGAAAUGAAGGAAAGACAUUUUUAUAUUUUUUGAGUGUGGAUGGUGGGGGGAAAUUGUUAACGGUUGGUUCCUUCAUUGUCGUUGCUCCCUUCAAAACUGAACUGCACCAAAACAGAGAAAAAUCCUCCUGUCCCUCUUUUUGUCUUUUGCAGUUUCAUUUUUUUUUAUUUUUUUUAUCUGUUUUGGUCUUUGUUUUUUCAACUCCCAGUCCACAGCAGAAAAACUCCAGAACAUUAAUAGAA